AGACGCAGUGGGGCCUGUAGCUCAGAGGAUUAGAGCACGUGGCUACGAACCACGGUGUCGGGGGUUCGAAUCCCUCCUCACCCAC
rnacentral:tRNA from 1 species